AAAUUGAAGAGUUUGAUCAUGGCUCAGAUUGAACGCUGGCGGCAGGCCUAACACAUGCAAGUCGAACGGUAACAGGAAGAAGCUUGCUUCUUUGCUGACGAGUGGCGGACGGGUGAGUAAUGUCUGGGAAACUGCCUGAUGGAGGGGGAUAACUACUGGAAA
rnacentral:rRNA from 1 species